CAGCCGCCACGGGAAUACAGAGGGUGCGAGCGUUAAUCGGAUUUACUGGGCGUAAAGCGUGCGUAGGCGGCUAAUUGAGUCGGAUGUGAAAUCCCCGAGCUUAACUUGGGAAUUGCAUUCGAUACUGGUUAGCUAGAGUGUGGGAGAGGAUGGUAGAAUUCCAGGUGUAGCGGUGAAAUGCGUAGAGAUCUGGAGGAAUACCGAUGGCGAAGGCAGCCAUUUGGCCUAAUACUGACGCUGAGGUACGAAAGCAUGGGGAGCAAACAGGAUUAGAUACCCCGGUAGUCCCUGUCUCUUAUAC
rnacentral:rRNA from 1 species